UACGUAGGUCCCGAGCGUUGUCCGGAUUUAUUGGGCGUAAAGCGAGCGCAGGUGGUUUAUUAAGUCUGGUGUAAAAGGCAGUGGCUCAACCAUUGUAUGCAUUGGAAACUGGUAGACUUGAGUACAGGAGAGGAGAGUGGAAUUCCAUGUGUAGCGGUGAAAUGCGUAGAUAUAUGGAGGAACACCGGUGGCGAAAGCGGCUCUCUGGCCUGUAACUGACACUGAGGCUCGAAAGCGUGGGGAGCGAACAGG
rnacentral:rRNA from 1 species